UACAGAGGUCUCAAGCGUUGUUCGGAUUCAUUGGGCGUAAAGGGUGCGUAGGCGGCGCGGUAAGUCGGGUGUGAAAUCCCUCGGCUCAACUGAGGAACUGCCUUUGAAACUGUCGGGCUUGAGGCCGGGAGGGGGUAGUGGAAUUCCCAGUGUAGCGGUGAAAUGCGUAGAUACUGGGAGGAACACCAGUGGCGAAGGCGGCUACCUGGACCGGUUCUGACGCUGAGGCGCGAAAGCUAGGGGAGCAAACAGG
rnacentral:rRNA from 1 species